CUCUGGCCUCAAAUCAGGUAGGACUACCCGCUGAACUUAAGCAUAUCAAUAAGCGGAGAGAAUCAUUAGUGAUUUGCCUUCCGG
rnacentral:rRNA from 1 species